GCCGAUCCUUUCAAUCCGAGCUCUGGCAACCUUGGACUCGUGUUUUGGGCUCACAAUACAAGGCUGGGCUUCACACGCAUCACUCAUCUUGCGCUUUCGACUUUCGUUUUCCCGCUGCAUAAAAAAAAGUUAUGAAAGGGCAAGCAUUGCCUCAAAAAUCGGCACACAAUACGUUCUCUAAAACACAAGCAAAAGCACAGCGCUGAUUUAGAGAGAAUUUUGGGAUCCGAAAGGUGCGUCGUAAUUCUUUCCUAAAAUUACUCUACUUUUUUUCAACAUUUCAGAUUCCAUUUACGAUAAUCUUGCAUUAAUUGUUCAAGUAGUUAGUUUUGGGAGACGACGAAGAUUCGGCUGCUCAGAAGGCUGAGGAGUAUAAGGAUAAUACUACUGUGAAGGCGAAGGAGACGACGGAUGCUGCUGCAAGGAAGAUGGAAGAAGAGAAGGAAUCCGUGAAAGGGAAGGCGGAGUACAUUAAGGAAUCGGCAAAGGGAAAGAUGGGAGAGUAUGCAGAUAAGGCGAAAGAGACAAAGGGAUUGGCGAAGGAGAAGUUGGGUGAGUACAAGGAUUAUGCAGCUGAGAAGGCACAAGAGACUAAAGAAUCUGCAGAGGGGUAGGCAGGAGAGUAUAAGGAUUAUGCUGCAGAAAGCCAGAGAAACAAAAGACAAGGCUGGGGAAUACAAGUACUAUGCAAUAGAGAAGGCAAAGGAAACGAGGGAUUACACUGCUGAAAAAGAUAAGGAGGCUGCAGAGAGGGCAAAGGAAACAAAGGAUUAUACUGCUAAGAAAGCCGAGGAAGGAAAGGACUCUGCUACUAGUAUGCUCAGUGAGCUUCCUGAAUCUGCCAAAGGUGCUGGAAGAAAUUCUGUGGACCUCUUCUCUAGUAAGAAAGAAGAAGCUAAAGAGAAACAGAAGAGACAAAAGAGGCAACCAAGGAGAAAUUGAGCGAAGCCGAGGAGGAAGUGAGGCGGAAGAUGGAGGAGUUGAAGGUGGAAGGUAAGGAUUACGAAAAUGAGGCUGAGAAAAAAGCCCAAGAAGCUAAGGACACUGAAGCUGAAAGGGAAAUCACUGCGAGAGACACCAUCUUUGGAAACAUUGGUCUGGAAAGCAUUACGGACUCGAUUGAAGGGAAGCUAACACAACCACGGGACGAUGCGGAUGCGACUCAGAAUGAGCAUGGAGGCACAGGAAGAAGGGAUGCAGAUAAGUUGCAGGAGGAGGUGGUGCUUCUUCUUGAAGAGACACCAACAGAAGCUGUGGCGGCCACUCAGAUAGCAGUGGAUCAGAUGACCAGUCAAACUUUCAACGACGUUGGACGCCCAGAUGAUGAGGGCUAUAUUCGCUUAAAACGCACCGGCCUUUAAGGCCAUAAGUGAUGACGUCCACUGAGUGUAAGGCAAACUUCGCAUUUGGGCUUUUUAUUUUUUUAUUUUUUUCCUUUGUGUGUUGAAUAAUUCAGUCCACAAACAUAGCUCUUUAGGCUAUCUCCUUUUUGGAUCGAUGUCAUGGAUCAAAUCUAUUUGAAAUCAAUCUUUAAAGGAUACUUUGAUUAAAAAAAAAAAAGUUACUUAAUGGGAGCAGUCAUCAAAUUUUUUCUUUCAUUUGUUUCCUUGCAUAUAUAAUUCUUGACAAGUUCAAUGAACAGGUACUCUUGUUUGGUAUAAUGGCUAUAGAGAUCAAAAGGAAAGCUCCUCAUGCACAUACUAUCUGUGAAAUUGUAAAAGCUCGGUAUAUGUUUAAUGAUUGCAGUGAACUUAAUUAUCAUAUGUAACAACCUCAUUUAGAUCUAAUGAACUAAUAAAUUACUUCUUUGCUUCAGUUGGGGGAUUUCUGCACAUGUUGUGUUCCUCAUUUUUUGCUUAUUAACAAACAUUAUUGUAACGGCUAUGCUGCUUCUUGGUGGUUCUGCUGUUGUAAAUGCACUUACUGGAGUGAAUAUUUACGCAGCUAGCUUUCUAAUUCCACUCGGAGUAAUUGUCUAUACUCUAGCUGGAGGGCUAAAAGCAACCUUCUUGGCAAGUUAUAUACAUUCUGUUAUAGUGCAUGCGGUUCUAGUCAUUUUUGUGUACCUAGUUUACACAGCAAGCAGUGAGCUGGGAAGUCCCAGUCUUAUAUAUAACCGUCUGGCGGAGGUGGCUAGUAAGUCAAGACUGUGUCAAGAACCGAUUUCACAUGAUGGGCAAUCCUGUGGUCCUGUCAGUGGAAAUUACAAGGGUUCUUACUUAACAAUGUUGAGUUCAGGUGGUCUGGUUUUUGGAAUUAUAAACAUUGCUGGAAACUUCGGUACGGUUUUUGUUGACAAUGGAUAUUGGGUGAGUGCCAUCGCCGCCAGACCUUCAUCAACGCAUAAGGGGUAUUUGUUGGGUGGCCUUGUGUGGUUUGCUGUACCAUUCUCUUUGGCAACAUCUCUGGGUCUAGGGGCACUUGCCCUUGAUUUACCAAUAUCAGAAAGUGAGGCAAGCCAUGGACUUGUUCCUCCAGCUACUGCUAUAGCUUUGAUGGGGAAAGGAGGAUCAAUACUUCUUCUUACAAUGCUUUUCAUGGCUGUGACAUCUGCUGGGUCCUCUGAGUUAAUUGCUGUUUCAUCAUUAUGCACAUAUGAUAUCUACCGUACUUACAUAAAUCCAAAUGCAAGUGGGAAAAAAAUCCUCAAAGUGUCAAGGGCUGUUGUCCUAGGCUUUGGAUGUUUCAUGGGAUUGUUAGCAAUAAUACUGAAUAAGGCUGGAGUCUCAUUAGGUUGGAUGUAUCUUGCCACGGGAGUGCUUGUUGGUUCUGCUGUUCUUCCUAUUGCUUUUAUGCUUCUGUGGAGCAAAGCAAACGCAAUGGGUGCCAUUCUUGGAACAAUUAUUGGUUGUAUUCUCGGUAUUGUAACUUGGCUAUUAGUUACAGUCAUUGAAUAUGGCCAUUUAAAUCUUGACACAACUGGCCGUAAUGCACCAAUGCUGGCUGGAAACCUUGUCUCUAUACUUACAGGUGGAGCUGUUCAUGCUGUUUGUAGUCUUUUGCGGCCCCAAAAUUAUGAUUGGGAUACCACCAGGCAGAUCACAGUAGUUGAAAAGGAAAAAGACGAGCUUCCAGCAGAAGAGUUCAAGGAGGAGAAACUUACCAAAGCAAAAUCCUGGAUAAUUAAAUGGGGUGUCGGUUUCUCUGUUGUGAUUGUUAUAUUAUGGCCUCUUCUCACUCUUCCUGCAGGGGAAUUCAGCUUGGGAUACUUCACAUUCUGGGCAGUAAUUGCUAUAGCAUGGGGCACCAUAGGAUCGGCAGUAAUCAUUGCUCUACCACUGGUUGAAAGCUGGGAAACCAUCCAAAGUGUAUUUCUGGGAAUGUUUACAAAUGACAAGCUUCUGGAAAAGAUGGAGGAGAUGAAUGUCAAACUAAGUACAAUCAUUCAGGCUAUGCCGGAAGCUCAGAAAAUUUACUUGCUCGAGAAAGAGAAAUCCAAAAAACAAGAAACAGCAGAGCACCUGGCUUAAUGUGCUCUUAGCUACCAAAUGGUUCAGCUAGACCUGUCUUCAUGGAAGUACAAAAUAUUUAACAAAGUUCGAAGAUAAGGGUUUUUUU
rnacentral:misc_RNA from 1 species